GUGGGGAAUCUUGCGCAAUGGGCGAAAGCCUGACGCAGCCAUGCCGCGUGAAUGAUGAAGGUCUUAGGAUUGUAAAAUUCUUUCACCGGGGACGAUAAUGACGGUACCCGGAGAAGAAGCUCCGGCUAACUUCGAGCCAGCAGCCGCGGUAAUACGAAGGGGGCUAGCGUUGCUCGGAAUUACUGGGCGUAAAGGGCGCGUAGGCGGACAGCUUAGUCAGAGGUGAAAGCCCAGGGCUCAACCUUGGAAUUGCCUUUGAUACUGGCUGUCUUGAGUUUGGGAGAGGUGAGUGGAACUCCGAGUGUAGAGGUGAAAUUCGUAGAUAUUCGGAAGAACGCCAGUGGCGAAGGCGACUCACUGGCCCAAUACUGACGCUGAGGCGCGAAAGCGUGGGGAGCAAACAGGAUUAGAUACCCUUGUAGUCC
rnacentral:rRNA from 1 species